rnacentral:rRNA from 1 species
AUUGAACGCUGGCGGCAGGCCUAACACAUGCAAGUCGAGCGAGCGGCGGACGGGUGAGUAAUGUAUGGGGACUGCCCGAUAGAGGGGGAUAAAUACUGGAAACGGUGGCUAAUACCGCAUACUAUCGGAUAACCCAUAUGGGAUUAGCUAGUAGGGGGGGUAAAGGCUCACCUAGGCGACGAUCUCUAGAUGGUCUGAGAGGAUGAUCAGCCACACUGGUCUUUAGACAUGGCCCAGUCUCUUCGUAAGGCAGCCGUGGGGAAUAUUGCACAAUGGGCGCAAGCCUGAUGCAGCAAAGCCGCGUUUAUGAAGAAGGCCCUAGGGUUGUAAAGUACUUUCAGCGGAGAGGCGUUACCAGCAGAAGAAGCACCGGCUAACUCCGUGCCAGCAGCCGCGGUAAUAC